UGACUGCGUACCUUUUGUAUAAUGGGUCAGCGACUUAUAUUCUGUAGCAAGGUUAACCGAAUAGGGGAGCCGAAGGGAAACCGAGUCUUAACCGGGCGUUAAGUUGCAGGGUAUAGACCCGAAACCCGGUGAUCUAGCCAUGGGCAGGUUGAAGGUUGGGUAACACUAACUGGAGGACCGAACCGACUAAUGUUGAAAAAUUAGCGGAUGACUUGUGGCUGGGGGUGAAAGGCCAAUCAAACCGGGAGAUAGCUGGUUCUCCCCGAAAGCUAUUUAGGUAGCGCCUCGUGAAUUCAUCUCCGGGGGUAGAGCACUGUUUCGGCAAGGGGGUCAUCCCGACUUACCAACCCGAUGCAAACUGCGAAUACCGGAGAAUGUUAUCACGGGAGACACACGGCGGGUGCUAACGUCCGUCGUGAAGAGGGAAACAACCCAGACCGCCAGCUAAGGUCCCAAAGUCAUGGUUAAGUGGGAAACGAUGUGGGAAGGCCCAGACAGCCAGGAUGUUGGCUUAGAAGCAGCCAUCAUUUAAAGAAAGCGUAAUAGCUCACUGGUCGAGUCGGCCUGCGCGGAAGAUGUAACGGGGCUAAACCAUGCACCGAAGCUGCGGCAGCGACACUGUGUGUUGUUGGGUAGGGGAGCGUUCUGUAAGCCUGUGAAGGUGUCUGUGAGGAUGCUGGAGGUAUCAGAAGUGCGAAUGCUGACAUAAGUAACGAUAAAGCGGGUGAAAAGCCCGCUCGCCGGAAGACCAAGGGUUCCUGUCCAACGUUAAUCGGGGCAGGGUGAGUCGACCCCUAAGGCGAGGCCGAAAGGCGUAGUCGAUGGGAAACAGGUUAAUAUUCCUGUACUUGGUGUUACUGCGAAGGGGGGACGGAGAAGGCUAUGUUGGCCGGGCGACGGUUGUCCCGGUUUAAGCGUGUAGGCUGGUUUUCCAGGCAAAUCCGGAAAAUCAAGGCUGAGGCGUGAUGACGAGGCACUACGGUGCUGAAGCAACAAAUGCCCUGCUUCCAGGAAAAGCCUCUAAGCAUCAGGUAACAUCAAAUCGUACCCCAAACCGACACAGGUGGUCAGGUAGAGAAUACCAAGGCGCUUGAGAGAACUCGGGUGAAGGAACUAGGCAAAAUGGUGCCGUAACUUCGGGAGAAGGCACGCUGAUAUGUAGGUGAAGUCCCUCGCGGAUGGAGCUGAAAUCAGUCGAAGAUACCAGCUGGCUGCAACUGUUUAUUAAAAACACAGCACUGUGCAAACACGAAAGUGGACGUAUACGGUGUGACGCCUGCCCGGUGCCGGAAGGUUAAUUGAUGGGGUCAGCGCAAGCGAAGCUCUUGAUCGAAGCCCCGGUAAACGGCGGCCGUAACUAUAACGGUCCUAAGGUAGCGAAAUUCCUUGUCGGGUAAGUUCCGACCUGCACGAAUGGCGUAAUGAUGGCCAGGCUGUCUCCACCCGAGACUCAGUGAAAUUGAACUCGCUGUGAAGAUGCAGUGUACCCGCGGCAAGACGGAAAGACCCCGUGAACCUUUACUAUAGCUUGACACUGAACAUUGAGCCUUGAUGUGUAGGAUAGGUGGGAGGCUUUGAAGUGUGGACGCCAGUCUGCAUGGAGCCGACCUUGAAAUACCACCCUUUAAUGUUUGAUGUUCUAACGUGGACCCGUGAUCCGGGUUGCGGACAGUGUCUGGUGGGUAGUUUGACUGGGGCGGUCUCCUCCUAAAGAGUAACGGAGGAGCACGAAGGUUGGCUAAUCCUGGUCGGACAUCAGGAGGUUAGUGCAAUGGCAUAAGCCAGCUUGACUGCGAGCGUGACGGCGCGAGCAGGUGCGAAAGCAGGUCAUAGUGAUCCGGUGGUUCUGAAUGGAAGGGCCAUCGCUCAACGGAUAAAAGGUACUCCGGGGAUAACAGGCUGAUACCGCCCAAGAGUUCAUAUCGACGGCGGUGUUUGGCACCUCGAUGUCGGCUCAUCACAUCCUGGGGCUGAAGUAGGUCCCAAGGGUAUGGCUGUUCGCCAUUUAAAGUGGUACGCGAGCUGGGUUUAGAACGUCGUGAGACAGUUCGGUCCCUAUCUGCCGUGGGCGCUGGAGAACUGAGGGGGGCUGCUCCUAGUACGAGAGGACCGGAGUGGACGCAUCACUGGUGUUCGGGUUGUCAUGCCAAUGGCACUGCCCGGUAGCUAAAUGCGGAAGAGAUAAGUGCUGAAAGCAUCUAAGCACGAAACUUGCCCCGAGAUGAGUUCUCCCUGACCCUUUAAGGGUCCUGAAGGAACGUUGAAGACGACGACGUUGAUAGGCCGGGUGUGUAAGCGCAGCGAUGCGUUGAGCUAACCGGUACUAAUGAACCGUGAGGCUUAACCUU
rnacentral:rRNA from 1 species